AGAGUUUGAUCAUGGCUCAGGAUGAACGUUGGCGGUGUGCCUAAUACAUGCAAGUCGAACGGAGUUAAUAGCAAUAUUGACUUAGUGGCGAACGGGUGAGUAACGCGUUGGUGAUCUGCCUCGAAGUGUGGAAUAACGUUCCGAAAGGAUCGCUAAUACCGCAUGUGCUCUCGAUUUUUAGAAAGUUGAGAGUAAAGGAUUUAUUCGCUUCGAGAGGAGCCUGCGUCCCAUCAGCUGGUUGGUAGGGUAACGGCCUACCAAGGCUAUGACGGGUAGGGGACCUGAGAGGGUGGCCCCCCACAAUGGAACUGAAACACGGUCCAUACACCUACGGGUGGCAGCAGUAGGGAAUAUUAGAAAUGGACGAAAGUCUGAUCUAGCAACACCGCGUGUGCGAAGAAGGCCUUCGGGUCGUAAAGCACUUUUUGGAAGGAAUAGGAAGGAAUGUACUUCCAGAAUAAGUCUCGGCUAACUACGUGCCAGCAGCCGCGGUAACACGUAGGAGGCAAACGUUAUCCGGAUUUACUGGGCGUAAAGCGCGUGUAGGUGGUACUGUAAGUAGGGCGUGAAAGCUCCCGGCUCAACUGGGAGAGGCCGUUCUAAACUGCAGAACUAGAGGAUGGUAGAGGGAGGUGGAAUUCCAGGUGUAGCGGUGGAAUGCGCAGAUAUCUGGAGGAACACCAGUGGCGAAGGCGGCCUCCUGGACCAUUCCUGACACUCAGACGCGAAAGCUAGGGUAGCAAACGGGAUUAGAGACCCCGGUAGUCCUAGCCCUAAACGAUGUAGACUAGGCGUCGGUGGUUUAAUCACCAUCGGUGUCCAAGCUAACGCGAUAAGUCUACCGCCUGGGGACUACGGCCGCAAGGUUAAAACUCAAAUGAAUUGACGG
rnacentral:rRNA from 2 species